rnacentral:rRNA from 1 species
AUUGAACGCUGGCGGCAUGCCUUACACAUGCAAGUCGAACGGCAGCACGGGUGCUUGCACCUGGUGGCGAGUGGCGAACGGGUGAGUAAUACAUCGGAACCUACCUUUUAGCGGGGGAUAACCAAGGGAAACUUUGGCUAAUACCGCAUACACUCGAGAGAGGAAAGCUGCCGCAAGGUGGCACUAGAAGAGGGGCCUGCGUCCGAUUAGCUAGUUGGUGAGGUAAGAGCUCACCAAGGCGAUGAUCGGUAACUGGUCUGAGAGGACGACCAGUCACACUGGGACUGAGACACGGCCCAGACUCCUACGGGAGGCAGCAGUGGGGAAUAUUGGACAAUGGGGGCAACCCUGAUCCAGCGAUGCCGCGUGAGUGAAGAAGGCCUUCGGGUCGUAAAGCUCUUUAGGUUGGGAAGAAGGUUAUGAGUGGAUAAAGCUUGUAACUUGACGGUACCGACAGAAUAAGCACCGGCAAACUCUGUGCCAGCCGCCGCCGUAA